GAUGGGGUUGAUUGCUAUAAUACCACCAAAGAUCUUUUUUCACAGGUCAAAAGGAUUUGGAAAGCUGUCCAAUUGUGACCGUCUAAAAGGCAAGAGAGUUGGGCUCAGUGCAACACUUAAUCCAGAGGUUAGGCUUUUAUCUGUCUUUUGUGGGGUUGAAAGAAGCAGCAAAGUGUCUUAGAAUGAGGCCUAACUCACAGCAAAAGACAAGACUCCACUUUUCAGAAGCUGAGUGGAGCCGAGUCCCAUUUGGUGAUUUGAUUUCUGAUCCAUGGCAAAAUCAACAACUAAAGAAAAUGGACAAAUAAUAGUUAAAAUACUUAUGAAUCAGUCAUGAGAGGAGAAAAAAACAACAUAAGAGUAAUGCUACCUUCAUGAAGAAAAGGUAGCAUUCUACAAUGUUUUCUUUAUUCCCAUGCAGAUAGAUUUUUGCAUGAUCUAACAAUUCCCAGUGCAGAAGGUGACCAGGAUGUUGAUCUUCACAGCUGAACCUUUUCUUUUAUUGCCCGAUGAGGCGUUCCCCAGUUAAGUUAGAAGCACUUUUGAAGAAGGCCACUAUCCCAGCGGGCAUCACUAAAUCUGCAGACGGCGGCACAAGGCGUUUACUUCUGCCUUUGUUACACAAUAUAAAACUUCAAAGGUUGAAUCACUUCAAACCUGGUUUACCUUCAGUAAAUUGAACUGCAUUGUAUGAGAUAGAAUAAUUUUAAAGUGCCAAACUGUUUGUUUUUUUUAUCUAUGUGUCUGCAAUGAUGGUCAGUUUGUCAAGAUAUGCAUCAUAUUAUGUGCAUGCGAGUCAUGAUAUGCAYAAUCCUAACC